AUUCCACCCCGCUGAGGAUGAGUCUCUUCAUCUUUAUGAAGGGGAUGUGGUAUUGGCACCCCUGGCUUGGGUGACGUGUGAGGCAGCUACACGGUGCUGGGAGUCAAAGAGCCUUCUGUCAUCUUGCAGUUGGAGUCCAAGGGAGUCCCCCAGAGCCACCAGGAUGAUAUAUGGUCUCUGCAAACUUCCCAUGAUGAGGCACUUCAGGAACCAACACAGUGAAGAAGGCCCAAGUCACAGCACCCCAGCAUGAACCCAGCAAACACCACAGUUUCAUUCACCACACAGAACCAGAAGUUGACUGCCGACGGCCAUCUGAGAGGCUGCCAUAGUCUGUCCAAUACUUUUCAAUCGGGAAACACGCUCUGAGCUCCCUUCUGUGGCUGGCUAGGUGCGGAGCUCCAGAGGUUAAAAGACAAGUUUGUGUUAACAUGCUGGAGGUUGUGGCAUGCUCACGGUUAAAUGGAUUUCAUUUCAGAAUAUUACUUAUCCCAGAUUGCACAUGGCAUGUGUGUAUUACAUAGACAGACAGAUUAACAUUUGUGGAAACAAAACAUUGUCUGCAUUAUCAGGUUGUCGUAAAUUCUUAAAAUUUUGCGUGG